CUGAGUGUGAGGUUGCCAUAGUGUUUUCCAUGGGAGUGGUGCCUCCGUUCUACCUCUCCGAACUUCCUGGAUGCUUGGGACCCACAAGGACCCGUCGGCCGAAUUAGGGAAAAAGAAGCCUUGGCCGAUAAUGCAGCUUGAUUUCUCAAAAAGGACUGAACCGAGAUAGAGGGAGUGACUCCUUGGCUACUGACAGCAGAGCUCCACGCACUGCCAGGCACAGUUCUGCCUCGCUGGGACC
rnacentral:lncRNA from 1 species